rnacentral:rRNA from 1 species
AAUAGAUACCCGGGUAGUCCACGCCGUAAACGAUGAGUGCUAAGUGUUAGAGGGUUUCCGCCCUUUAGUGCUGCAGCUAACGCAUUAAGCACUCCGCCUGGGGAGUACGGUCGCAAGACUGAAACUCAAAGGAAUUGACGGGGGCCCGCACAAGCGGUGGAGCAUGUGGUUUAAUUCGAAGCAACGCGAAGAACCUUACCAGGUCUUGACAUCCUCUGACAACUCUAGAGAUAGAGCGUUCCCCUCCGGGGGACAGAGUGACAGGUGGUGCAUGGUUGUCGUCAGCUCGUGUCGUGAGAUGUUGGGUUAAGUCCCGCAACGAGCGCAACCCUUGAUCUUAGUUGCCAGCAUUUAGUUGGGCACUCUAAGGUGACUGCCGGUGACAAACCGGAGGAAGGUGGGGAUGACGUCAAAUCAUCAUGCCCCUUAUGACCUGGGCUACACACGUGCUACAAUGGAUGGUACAAAGGGCUGCAAGACCGCGAGGUCAAGCCAAUCCCAUAAAAACCAUUCUCAGUUCGGAUUGUAGG